rnacentral:rRNA from 1 species
AUUGAACGCUGGCGGCAGGCUUAACACAUGCAAGUCGAGCGGAGUGAUGGUGCUUGCACUAUCACUUAGCGGCGGACGGGUGAGUAAUGCUUAGGAAUCUGCCUAUUAGUGGGGGACAACAUCUCGAAAGGGAUGCUAAUACCGCGUACGUCCUACGGGAGAAAGCAGGGGAUCACUUGUGACCUUGCGCUAAUAGAUGAGCCUAAGUCGGAUUAGCUAGUUGGUGGGGUAAAGGCCUACCAAGGCGACGAUCUGUAGCGGGUCUGAGAGGAUGAUCCGCCACACUGGGACUGAGACACGGCCCAGACUCCUACGGGAGGCAGCAGUGUGGAAUAUUGGACAAUGGGGGGAACCCUGAUCCAGCCAUGCCGCGUGUGUGAAGAAGGCCUUAUGGUUGUAAAGCACUUUAAGCGAGGAGGAGGCUCUUUUGGUUAAUACCCAAGAUGAGUGGACGUUACUCGCAGAAUAAGCACCGGCUAACUCUGUGCCAGCCGCCGCGGUAA